AGAGUUUGAUCCUGGCUCAGGAUGAACGCUGGCGGUAUGCCUAACACAUGCAAGUCGUACGAGAGUUUUUAACUCUAGUGGCGGACGGGUGAGUAACACGUGAGAAUUUGCCUUUAGGAGGGGGAUAACAAUUGGAAACGAAUGCUAAUACCCCAUAUGCUUUCGAGUGAAAUGAAUUUUUUAUUUGCCUAAAGAGAAGCUCGCGGCUGAUUAGCUUGUUGGUAAGGUAAGAGCUUACCAAGGCGACGAUCAGUAUCUGGUUUGAGAGGACGAUCAGACACACUGGAACUGAGACACGGUCCAGACUCCUACGGGAGGCAGCAGUGGGGAAUUUUCCGCAAUGGGCGAAAGCCUGACGGAGCAAUACCGCGUGAGGGAAGAAUGCCUAUGGGUUGUAAACCUCUUUUUUCAGGGAGGAAUAAAUGACGUGUACCUGAAGAAUAAGCAUCGGCUAACUCCGUGCCAGCAGCCGCGGUAAGACGGAGGAUGCAAGUGUUAUCCGGAAUCACUGGGCGUAAAGCGUCUGUAGGCGGUUUAAUAAGUCAACUGUUAAAUCUUGAGGCUCAACUUCAAAAUCGCAGCUGAAACUAUUAGACUAGAGUAUAGUAGAGGUAAAGGGAAUUUCCAGUGUAGCGGUGAAAUGCGUAG
rnacentral:rRNA from 1 species